UACGUAGGGGGCAAGCGUUAUCCGGAUUUACUGGGUGUAAAGGGAGCGUAGGCGGUUCAGCAAGUCAGAAGUGAAAGCCCGGGGCUCAACUCCGGGACUGCUUUUGAAACUGUUGAACUAGAUUGCAGGAGAGGCAAGUGGAAUUUCUAGUGUAGCGGUAAAAUGCGUAGAUAUUAGAAGGAACACCAGUGGCGAAGGCGACUUGCUGGGCCAAAACUGACGCUGAGACACGAAAGCGCGGGGAUCGAACAGG
rnacentral:rRNA from 1 species